rnacentral:lncRNA from 1 species
UUUUUUUUUUUUUUUUACAUUUUCAAAAUUGUUGGAAAAAAAAUCAGAAAAAUAAAAGUAUUUUGUGAGCCAUGAAAAUUAUACAAAAUUCAAGUUUGCAUUGAUAAAUAGUUUUGUUGGGGGCACAGCCACACCUAUCUGUGAAUGUUGUGUCUAGGGCUGAUUUUAUGCUACAAAAGCCAAGUUGAGUAGUUGCAACAAAGACUGUAUGGCCCACAGAGCCUAAAAUAUUUACUGUCUGGCCCUUAACUGAAAGUUUGCCAGCCUUUGGUCUCAGCCAGUCAUGAUAACCCUGCUCCCAUUUCCCAGCCUUUCUUGCAACUGGGAGUGGCCAUAGGUUCCAGUCCUUUCCCCACGGAAUGAAGCGGAAGCCUGCUGGGGAGAUUUGUCUAAAAGCACUGCUUUUCCGAGACAGGAGGACAGACAGGGCUAGGACCGCCCCUUCUUCCUACUUCCUGCCUUCAGUGUGGGUGUGUCCGGAGCCCACUCAGCCCUUUUCCUUCAGAGCUCAUUUCCUGUGCAAGGUAUGGGAAACCUGAGGGUCAGGAGUCCAGCUGGGACCGCUGGCUGGGCUGGCUGGGGUCCAAGAAGAGGGAGGUCCACCCUGGGCAUCUGCCUGGCAGCCUGGGCUGCUUCUCACCCAGACCAAGUUGGACCCAGAGGGCUGGACUGAGGAAGGGUCAGCCCCUCCCAGGAACUUGUCUGGUAGCUCCGUCUUCCGGUGGAAACCUGGGCUUCCAGAGGCUGGUUUGCCUAUGGAGAGAGUAACACGUUGUGAGGUCACAGGCUAGGUAUCAUUUUGUUCAUUUAAUAGGAGAAGAAAACUGGGGCUCUAUAAGACUAAUUGACAUUCCCAGUCACAAGAGUUAAAAGAGGUAAAGUUGGGAGUUCCCAUUGUGGCUGAGUGGGUUAAGGACCUGACCUUGUCUCCAUGAGGAUGUGGGUAUGAUCCCUGGCCUCGCUCAGUGGGUUAAGGAUCUGGCAUUGUCCCAAACUGUGGCACAGUUUGCCGAUGCACCUCGGAUUGGUGUCGCUGUGGCUGUAGCAUAGGCCGGCAGCUGCCUCCAAUUUGAUUUCUAGUCUGGGAACUUCCAUAUGCCCCAGGUGUGGCCCUAAAAAGAAAAGAAAUGAAAAAAAAAAAGAGGUAAAGCUGGGACCCAAACCCCAAAGCUGGCCCAGAUUCCUUUUGAUCACCUCCUUAGACAUGACCUCCAGGCCAUGCUAGGCCAGAUAUAGGGACACAAAGAACCUGUCAUCACCUCAGCAAAGCAUGAAAGGGACUUUCAUGAUGUGGGUCUGGGCAGCUGCCAGGAACGCCUCUUGUCUACAUCGCCCAGUUCUGCUCUUGGGACGGCCAAGAAUACGUCACCUCCUUAGCAGGUGCUCUGGACAUAUUUGUAGAAUGAAUGAGUUGCCUUGUAUCAGUACAAAUUCCUCAACAAAAAGUCAUAGGCUACCAAAUCCCCAAAAAAGCAGGCAAAAUUGACGUUUUACCUAGCUUUGCUAUGGAUUGGAAUGCGCAUUUGGGUAGCAGAAUAAGCCUCCUGUCAUGCUUUACAAGCAAAAGAUAAUAUCACUGUGAUCAUAAAAGAACAGUUAACGUGUACACUUGUGAAUGUGCCACUCACUGCACCAAGCACGUGAUGGAAAUCAUCUCAUUCAAGCUUCACAGCAAUCGGACGAGGUAGAGAUUAUUGCCAUCCUCGUUUUACGGUUGAGGAAUUGGGGGCUCAGAGAGGUUAAAUAAUUUGAUGAAGGCCACACAGCUAAAAGAGGGGAUAGUCUGAGUCACACCCAGGUGUUUUGCCCCCAUGGAAUAAGAGAGGAGGUGACAGGAAGACCGGGUGGGGUGAGUCUACGGGACUGGCUGGGGGGGAGGGGCAGACACCCCCUCUGUCAUCUGUAUGGAGGGUGGCCGCGUCAGAGCGUGGGCAGGAAAGAAAUGAUGCUGCUCACAGGAGCAGAAGUGGGCGAGGCCUUGCGGGCCCACAGGACUUGUCUUUUCAGUUGGCCUUUCCCUGUCCCAAGACAGGCACAGCCCUAGUGUCAACACUCACCCCUUAGGAGUUAACACUCAACCCUUACGACUCCUGUGUGUGUUGGGGGUGGAGGGCAGUGGAUGAGGAGGGGCCGGGCUGGGCUGGCGUGACGAGGACUCUCGCCCACACCAGCCUCUUGUGGAGGAGCUGGUGAUUCAUCACCUGUCCCAGCCAGCUGGGCCUCUAUCAGGGUGCAACUUGUAGUCAACAAGCCCCCAAAGGCCAUCCAGACAAGCAGGGGGGAUGGGGGCAGGAGGGUGGCUUAAAGGCCAGACCCAAGUCUCAUCCGGGUGCCUGGCCUCUGCAGCCCGACGUCCUGAGCUACCCUGAGCCCCUGUGUGAGGCCCACCACCCCACGGCAGGAAAACUUGCCCAGCCUGGGGUGAAGCCCACCAGAAAGCCUCACUCCCAGCACUUCUGACCUCUUUUUCCUGGAAGGUUCCACGACCUCCACUGUGGGCUGGUCCAAGGUACAGCUACUCUAGCCUGAGAUAUGGGCCUUGGUGCCCAGAGACCCCAUUGUGAGGGCUACUGAGUCGUGCUCAUGGGUGAUUGAGGCCUGCAAGCAGUUAAUUGACACCUGCUUUAAAUCUGGCUGGGCCCAGUGGCUGAGUCGGGCUAGGUGCUGAAUAAAAGUUUAUUGUCUGACCCACCAAGACUGACAGGAUGCUUGAACAGGUCCAGGACUCAGAGGCCAGAGGGGAAACCAGAAGAGGUAAAUCCCAACCUCAGGGGGUUUAAAACCUCACUCACAAGUAAUAACACAAUUAACAGAACAAUUAAGUGUUAAAUUGUGGGACCUUCCCUGGGUGCUCUGAGAAUUUUAAGUGGGGCCCGGGGCCCCGAGGCAGGCAUCCUGCAGAAGGUGUACUCACGUUGGUCUGAGUGUGGAGCCUGCAGGUGGGCCUGAGUGUGGAGGAGGGUCAAGAUGAGCUAGUGAGAAAUGUGGUGAUGGAUGACCCUUUGGAAUGGGAAGGUCCUUAAAUAUCCAGUCUGAUACCCGUAGGCCUUACCAUAGGAACAGCCCUUAGUUACAAGGGGUUUAGCCCGUGCUGGGAACACAUGCUUACUCCUCAUGCCAGCCCUGCGGUGGAGGUAUCUUAUUGUCCCCAUUUUGCAGGUGAAGAAACAGAGGCUCUAUCGGGUUCAGUACCUUGCCCAAAGCUGCACAGAUACAGAGGGGAGAAGGAAAUGGACCUGCCUUGUCCAAUAUGAUGGCCAUUAGCUGUGUGUGUUGCUAUGGAGCCCUUGGAAUGUGGCUAAUCCCAACUGAGCUGUUCUGUUAGUGGAAAAUAACACACUAGGUUUCAAACACUCACUAUAAAACAAACAAAAAAGAAUAUAGGGCGUGCCUGUUGUAGCUCAGCGGGUUAAGAACCCAACAUAGGUUGCGUUCUUAACCCACUGAGCCGCAAUGGGAACUCCCGAGCCUCUUUUUUCUCAUCUGCAAAAUAGGAAUAAAUAGGCUUUGCCUCAUCAGUUAUGGCGAGGAGCAAUCUAAGGGGCAUGGCUGGGCCCGGGGUAUAGGAAGGACAAAGGUGGACACCAAGGACCCAUCAGCAUUUUGGUCCCUCUCACUUGUUGCACAUUAAAUACACAGGGGCCAGGUGUUAUGUGCAUUAAGGCCCUUACCACUCAAACUGUGGUUCCCAGUGAAGCAGCAGCAACAUCCCCUGGGAGCUUGUCAG